rnacentral:piRNA from 1 species
UAGAGAUGUUUCUUUCCAAAUGUGUGUC